UUUUCACCAUGUUAAAUGCUUUGCUGCCUGAGAAAAAUAACUUCAAAAGCUCUUUUGAAAAAUAAAAACCGAAGUAUAUAGGAGAGCAUGGAACUAACUUCAAGGUCUAUCGAAAUGAUGAGCUCAUUGUGGACGAAAUAAGAAGGAUGAAGCCAAGAGUCAUACUAAUAUCUCCAGGGCCUGGCGCACCUAAAGAUUCAGGAAUAUCCUUACUAACUGUUCUGGAACUUGGCCCUUCAAUUCCAUUGUGUGGAGUUGUCGGCACAAAAAGGGAGAAAGUUAUG